rnacentral:lncRNA from 10 species
GAAAAACUUCUGGCAGCCCCAGCACUGGGGCUACCCGAUCUGACAAAACCUUUUCCAUUGUAUGAGUCAGAGAGAGAAAAGAUGGCAGCUGGACUUUUAACCCAAACUGUGGGGACCUGGCUGAGGCCGGUGGCCUACGUCUCUAAACAACUAGACAGGGUUUCUAAGGGAUGGCCCCCCUGUUUGAGGGCCUUGGCAGCAUCUACCCUGCUAGUACUAGAAGCAAAUAAGCUGACUCUUGGGCAAAACCUGAACAUAAAGGCCCCCCAUGCUGUGGUGACUGAGAGCCAGCCCCUCUUCCCCCGCUGGCUCUUAGGAUCCACGGUGGACUCAGCCUGUUUACCAUAUUGAUAUUAAUAACAAUUUCACAGGCUGGGUGAACACAGCCGGCGAUGCUGAAAUUAGUAUCAUCCUCUACCCCUCUUCCCCUCCUGGCUCUCAGUCCCCGCCUCACGGGUUAUGUAGCGGGUUAUGGCAAGAAGACAAACUGCAGUUUCCUGCACAGAACAGCACAAACAAUGAUCCAAGCUCAGUUACAACACAAUAUUGGUCAUCAUUUGACAAUGGACUUCAUAUCAACCCUUAGAAAUGUUCCUAAAACAGGUCAGCAAAACACCAAGAAGCAAUAUCCUGAAUGGUAGGAAAAUAUCCUUGCUUGUGCAAAUUGUUUCCACUUAAAUUAAUUUUUUUCAACAAAUGUUAAUUAUAUUUUUACUUUCUAAAAAUUUUUAAUAAAAUAUAGCCUCCUUGGUU